rnacentral:rRNA from 1 species
CUUAACACAUGCAAGUCAGGGGGCAGCGAGUAGAUUGCUUGCAAUCUAUGUCGGCGACCGGCGCACGGGUGCGUAACGCGUAUGCAACUACCCAUUACAGGGGGAUACACUGAGAAAUCGGUACUAAUACCCCAUAACAUCCAGGGAGGCAUCUUCUUGGGUUGAAAACUCCGGUGGUAAUGGAUGGGCAUGCGUUGUAUUAGUUAGUUGGUGGGGUAACGGCUCACCAAGACUACGAUACAUAGGGGACUGAGAGGUUAACCCCCCACAUUGGUACUGAGACACGGACCAAACUCCUACGGGAGGCAGCAGUGAGGAAUAUUGGUCAAUGGACGCAAGUCUGAACCAGCCAUGCCGCGUGCAGGAAGACGGCUCUAUGAGUUGUAAACUGCUUUUGUACGAGGGUAAACGCAGAUACGUGUAUCUGUCUGAAAGUAUCGUACGAAUAAGGAUCGGCUAACUCCGUG